rnacentral:lncRNA from 1 species
GUUCAUAAAAGGCAGAAGAAAUAAUAAAUCAUAUCCCAAGAUUGUAACAAUAUAUUGUUGGAGAACAAUUCAGAAAUAAAUAUAAAUAAAAUAAUUUGAAAUUUUAAUACUUUAUUAACUAAAAAUACUUGCUAUACAUAAUGAAAUUACAGAAACAAAUACAAGAAUUAAAAUGGUACUAACUUGAUUACAACAGGUAGAGGCUAGCGCAAAAGCUAUGUCCUUUGAAUAGUAUUUUCGUCCCACUCUUGUGCUUGUGGUUCUACAACGUCUACUCAACCAAGAUACAACUACCUAAUUCUAAAACCCGCACUGGAUUAUAGAAUUCUAGCGAAUUGCUUUGUGUGUUUACUCUCUUGAAUGUUUGUACGGAAGAGAAGGAAGAAGAAAAAAUGAUUUUCGAUAGAACUGAUGACUCCAAUUAUAUAGGCUAUUUCAUACCUCUUCAAAUACCUUUUGGAUGUAUCUGAAGCAAUGUUUUACAAAAGGGCCUACGCGGCUGCCUAGGCGCUGGGCGGGUUAACUUGGAACCGAGGCGAUUUCGUGCAAAACGGCUGGAAAAAUCGGAGUGCCUCUAGGCGGUGCUAGGCGGCUGGGCGUUUUUUUUAUAUUUUUGAAAUUUUAAAAAAUAAAAAAUAAAAACUUAGAUUAAGUAUCUUACAUUACUAUAUUUCCUUAUUUUCCUUCUAUUUUGCAUUUUAUGUUGUUUUAAAUUGUGAACUUGUUGUACAUGUGUCUUCCUACAUUACAAUACUCCUCACUAUAUGACAUAUAUGCUUAAUGCGUUUUUAAAUUUUGGACUUGUUGGAUACUCUUUUUGCAUUUUUAUCAUUCUUUUAUUAUCUUAUUCAUGGAUUUCAUACAAACAUAAUUUUUUGUGAGUGACAAUAUGCACUUAUUUACAAGAUAUACAAGAAAUUUACCUAAAUCCGCCUAGGCGCAUGCCGCCCGACUAGCGCCUAGCAUUUUUUAAAACCUUGAUCUGAAGCUAUACAACUCUUUCCGAAGAGUUGUGUCUAUUAAUCAAAACGUUUUUAAUUAAUUGUAAUUAAGAACUUAAUUCGAAACUAAAACUAAUUGAUCAGAUUAAUUUUAAUUCU